AAAUGAACUAAAGUACAUAUAUUUAUUCUGUUGUAAGAACAUAUAUAUCAUGUAAAAUUAAUGUGAUGAAAAAUACAAUAAAAAUAUUCACAAUGCUCUUACAACAGAUUAAUUAAAUAUACUUUAGUUAAUUUAGCACUAGCAUUAUUUAAUUAGUCUCUCACGUUGGAAUUAUUGUAGGACCCACCGAUAUUGGGGUACUUUGGCGUAGUGGUGGGCUAAACACAAUAUGGCCGUAUGGUGGAACUGAAUCCCCAUACUUGUUUAUGGAGAUAGGUGAUUUUAAGUAGCCUUGUAAAAUUUAAAACCAAACAUGGUGUUGGCAGCCAGAACAGGAUUCAUCAUAAGGCAACUCUAGGCAGCCGACUAGGACCCAGAAACCUGGUCCCAUUAACAAUCCCUAUGUGAGGAAUGAAGGGGUGCCCAAAAUGGUAACCUGACUAGGGCCCAGUGGGAUCUUUAUCUUACUCUGUUAGCACUCCAUUGUGGUGGUUUAAACUUCCCACAUAGCCAUUGAUACACUUUUACAUGCUUACACUGAGGCAAGUGUGGAGUGACAGCAUUCCCUUCUAAUAAACACAAUAUUGCAUUGUUUAAAAGUAUGGGCAGUGGCUAUUUCUUCUUCAAAAUUCUACAUUAGAAGCUACAUAGUUCCUGCAAAUUACCCCUUUGCCCCUAAUCUAGUAACAAUUUAUUUAUAACAUAUAUUGUGGUUAUAUUUAUAUGUACAUGAGAAUAUGCACAUGCUUUGAC